rnacentral:rRNA from 1 species
UACGUAGGGUGCAAGCGUUGUCCGGAAUUAUUGGGCGUAAAGAGCUCGUAGGCGGUCUGUCGCGUCUGCUGUGAAAACUCAGGGCUUAACCCUGAGCUUGCAGUGGGUACGGGCAGACUAGAGUGCGGUAGGGGAGACUGGAAUUCCUGGUGUAGCGGUGAAAUGCGCAGAUAUCAGGAGGAACACCGGUGGCGAAGGCGGGUCUCUGGGCCGUAACUGAACGCUG